GAUGAACGCUGGCGGCGUGCCUAACACAUGCAAGUCGAACGGGAUGCGUAUCGGAAAGCUUCGGCCGGAAGAUACGUUAUCUAGUGGCGGACGGGUGAGUAACACGUGGGUAACCUGCCUUAUGGAGGGGGAUAACAGAGAGAAAUCACUGCUAAUACCGCAUAAGCACACAGUACCGCAUGGUACAGGGUGAAAAGAUUUAUCACCAUAAGAUGGACCCGCGUCUGAUUAGCCAGUUGGCAGGGUAAAAGCCUACCAAAGCAACGAUCAGUAGCCGAUCUGAGAGGAUGACCGGCCACAUUGGGACUGAGACACGGCCCAAACUCCUACGGGAGGCAGCAGUGGGGAAUAUUGCACAAUGGGGGAAAACCCCUGAUGCAGCGACGCCGCGUG
rnacentral:rRNA from 1 species